rnacentral:rRNA from 1 species
CCCUUAGAUGUUCUGGGCUGCACGCGUGCUACAAUGGCGUUUCCAGCAAGUCUGCGAACCCGAGAGGGCCAGCGGAUCUUCGAAUUGGCGUCGUGAUCGGGACAGUCGAUUGCAAUUAUUUGACUCAAACGAGGAAUUCCUCGUAAUCGCGAUUCAUCAUAUCGCGCUGAAUACGUCCCUGCCCUUUGUACACACCGCCCGUCGCUCCUACCGAUUGAGCGAUCCGGUAAAUGUUUUGGAUUGGUGCCGGGGCGGCUAGCUGCCGGUCGCUACGAAAUUUUGUGAACCUUAUCGCUUAGAGGAAGGAAAAGUCGUAACA